CUCUUUGAACCUUGGGGUUCACUGUGAGGUAUGUGGCUGAGAUGCUGGGUUCUGCUGGUGUAUCCCUCAAAUGUGGGAUCUUUUGAAAAAGCCAUAGGAGAUCAAGACCUACUAGGAAUUCUGGUGUCUGCAUUGGGAGGACCAUCUGGUGUAUGUGAAGAUCAUGUUUCAGAGCUGCAGAAACACUUUAAUCUCAUUACCAUGCAAGAAUUUCUGGACAAUAAAGCACAACUGGGUCCAAAUAUUCAGGCCGUACACAUCUGGGGAGGAAAGCCACUAUUACUCAGGAGCUCCUGCAGGGCCUGCCCGCCUUGAAGAUUGUUGCCAACUCAGGAGCCAGUCUAGACCACCUGGCUCCUCACCAGCCUUGGUGUGAAGGUGGCCAACAUGCUGCAGGCUGAGUCCAGCCCCAGUGCUGAUGUGGGGAUGGCCUUGCUGCUGGCGGCAAGGCCCAGAGAGUCGUGGAAGGUCACCAGCUGGCCAUCUCACUGGACACACAGAACUUUUCCACAAACUGGAUGGGUCAGGAAGUGACAGGGGGCUACCCUGGGGAUCAUGGACAUGGGCAGAAUCGGCUACAGGGUGGCUCAGCGGGCCUGGGCAUUUGACAUGAAGAUUCUGUACCACAACAGGAAACAGGUGAGAGCUGGAGCGGACUCGAAGUGAGCUCAGCAGAACAUACACCAGCGCUGCCCUGACUGUGGCUGGGGCGUAUGAGCUCUGCAUUUUCCAUAAGACUCCCUGCUCUUUCUUCCAGAAAGCAGAGCUGAUGGUCCAGAAAGGGAUUGUGUAUUUUUA